rnacentral:rRNA from 1 species
AGAGGGUGCAAGCGUUAAUCGGAUUUACUGGGCGUAAAGCGCGCGUAGGUGGCCAAUUAAGUCAAAUGUGAAAUCCCCGAGCUUAACUUGGGAAUUGCAUUCGAUACUGGUUGGCUAGAGUAUGGGAGAGGAUGGUAGAAUUCCAGGUGUAGCGGUGAAAUGCGUAGAGAUCUGGAGGAAUACCGAUGGCGAAGGCAGCCAUCUGGCCUAAUACUGACACUGAGGUGCGAAAGCAUGGGGAGCAAACAGGAUUAGAUACCCUGGUAGUCCAUGCCGUAAACGAUGUCUACUAGCCGUUGGGGCCUUUGAGGCUUUAGUGGCGCAGCUAACGCGAUAAGUAGACCGCCUGGGGAGUACGGUCGCAAGACUA